CCUACGGGAGGCAGCAGUGGGGGAUAUUGCACAAUGGGGGAAACCCUGAUGCAGCGACGCCGCGUGAGUGAAGAAGUAUUUCGGUAUGUAAAGCCCUAUCAGCAGGGAAGAAAAUGACAGUACCUGACCAAGAAGCCCCGUCUUAAUACGUGCCAGCAGCCUCGGUAAGAUGUAGGGGGCAAGCGUUAUCCGGAUUGACUGGGCGUAAAGGGGGCGUAGACGGUUAUGUAAGUCUGGAGUGAAAGCCCGGGGCCCAACCCCGGGACUGCUUUGGAAACUGUGUAACUGGAGUACAGGAGGGGCAGGCGGAAUGCGUGGUGUAGCGGUGAAAUGCGUAGAUAUCAGGAGGAACACCGACGGCGAAGGCGGCCUGCUGGACUGAAACUGACGUUGAGGCUCGAAAGCGUGGGGAGCGAACAGGAUUAGAUACCCCUGUAGUC
rnacentral:rRNA from 1 species